UACGAAGGGGGCUAGCGUUGCUCGGAUUUACUGGGCGUAAAGAGUGUGUAGGCGGUGCUCUAAGUUUGGUGUGAAAUCUCCCGCUUAACUGGGAGGGUGCGCCGAAAACUGGAAUGCUUGAACAUGGGAGAGGAAAGCGGAAUUCCUGGUGUAGCGGUGAAAUGCGUAGAUAUCAGGAGGAACACCUGCGGUGUAGACGGCUUUCUGGACCAUUGUUGACGCUGAGACACGAAAGCGUGGGUAGCAAACAGG
rnacentral:rRNA from 1 species